AUGUUAGGAUCGGCUGGCUCAUCCUCAUCAUCCGAAAAGAAAACAGAGACAAAAUAGAUUUGUUUCAAUGACAUAUCUAAUCAGACUGAAAUUGAUGUCGAAGAAGGAAGCAGGCAGGAAGGGCGCGGAAGCUACCGUUUAACGAAUGCAAUGCAAGCAAGGUAG
rnacentral:rRNA from 1 species